CGGACGGGUGAGUAACGCGUGAGAAUCUGCCUCCAGGUCGGGGACAACAGCGGGAAACUGCUGCUAAUCCCGGAUAAGCCCUAGGGUAAAAGAUUUAUUGCCUGGAGAGGAGCUCGCGUCCGAUUAGCUAGAUGGUGAGGUAAGAGCUCACCAUGGCGACGAUCGGUAGCUGUUCUGAGAGGAAGAUCAGCCACACUGGGACUGAGACACGGCCCAGACUCCUACGGGAGGCAGCAGUGGGGAAUUUUCCGCAAUGGGCGAAAGCCUGACGGAGCAAGACCGCGUGCGGGAAGAAGGCCCUUGGGUCGUAAACCGCUUUUCUUAGGGAAGAAGCUCUGACGGUACCUAAGGAAUCAGCCUCGGCUAACUCCGUGCCAGCAGCCGCGGUAAUACGGAGGAGGCAAGCGUUAUCCGGAAUUAUUGGGCGUAAAGCGUCCGCAGGCGGUUUAUCAAGUCUGCUGUCAAAGACUGGGGCUCAACCCUGGGGAGGCAGUGGAAACUGAGAAGCUAGAGUGCAGUAGGGGUAGAGGGAAUUCCCAGUGUAGCGGUGAAAUGCGUAGAGAUUGGGAAGAACACCGGUGGCGAAAGCGCUCUACUGGGCUGUAACUGACGCUGAGGGACGAAAGCUAGGGGAGCGAAAGGGAUUAGAUACCCCUGUAGU
rnacentral:rRNA from 1 species